CCUACGGGAGGCAGCAGUAAGGAAUAUUGGUCAAUGGAGGCAACUCUGAACCAGCCAUGCCGCGUGCAGGAAGACGGCCCUAUGGGUUGUAAACUGCUUUUGUACCAGAGAAAACCUACUCACGUGUGAGUAGCUGAUAGUAUGGUAAGAAUAAGCAUCGGCUAACUUCGUGCCAGCAGCCGCGGUAAGACGAAGGAUGCAAGCGUUAUCCGGAUUCAUUGGGUUUAAAGGGUGCGUAGGCGGACUUGUAAGUCAGUGGUGAAAUCUCUUCGCUUAACGAAGAAACUGCCAUUGAUACUGCAGGUCUAGAGUACAGAUGAUGUGGGCGGAAUAUGACAUGUAGUGGUGAAAUACUUAGAUAUGUCAUAGAACACCGAUUGCGAAGGCAGCUCACAAAACUGUAACUGACGCUGAGGCACGAAAGUGCGGGGAUCAAACAGGAUUAGAUACCCUGGUAGUCCGCACCGUAAACGAUGAUUACUCGUUGUUGGCGAUAUGACAGUCAAGCGACCAAGCGAAAGCGAUAAGAAUCCACCUGGGGAGUACGCCGGCAACGGUGAAACUCAAAGGAAUUAGACGGCGNGAGAGNGCGAGGACGACACGAGGGGAGGAGG
rnacentral:rRNA from 1 species